rnacentral:tRNA from 1 species
GGAGAGGUGACCGAGAGGCCGAAGGUGCGCGCCUGCUAAGCGUGUGUAGGGUUUACCCCCUACCGAGGGUUCGAAUCCCUCCCUCUCCGCCA